rnacentral:rRNA from 1 species
AUAUUGGACAAUGGGGGAAACCCUGAUCCAGCCAUGCCGCGUGUGUGAAGAAGGCCUUUUGGUUGUAAAGCACUUUAAGCGAGGAGGAGGCUACCCUGACUAAUAUUCAGGAGUAGUGGACGUUACUCGCAGAAUAAGCACCGGCUAACUCUGUGCUAGCAGCCGCGGUAAUACAGAGGGUGCGAGCGUUAAUCGGAAUUACUGGGCGUAAAGCGCGCGUAGGCGGUUUAUUAAGUCGGAUGUGAAAUCCCUGAGCUUAACUUAGGAAUUGCAUUCGAUACUGGUAAGCUAGAGUAUGGGAGAGGAAGGUAGAAUUCCAGGUGUAGCGGUGAAAUGCGUAGAGAUCUGGAGGAAUACCGAUGGCGAAGGCAGCCUUCUGGCCUAAUACCGACGCUGAGGUGCGAAAGCAUGGGGAGCAAAC